CCCUAUCCAUGCCUUAAAACAAAAUUGUCUCAACCACCAUCACAAUUAAUAAACGAGAUCAAUAAGUUCAUCUCAGAUUCACCUUUGUUUAGAAAGUUCAUCUCAGAUUCAGUUUCCUUUUUUUAUUUAAUAGGUUGAUACGAGAGAAAUGCAAUUGUCGAGUAAGCUAACAGAGGCUCUGGAGGACCUGUGCCGUAGCCAUCUCAAAGCAAAGAAAAGGUAGUGGCCGUGACCAAGAGGAGACAUCUCGAACUCACCCCCGUCUCAACCCGUCGUCACCGGUCUUGAGCUUGUCAUCACCGGUCUCGAACUCGUCCCUAUAGUCAUCGAUGGUGUCGCGGGAGGAAGGAGGAAGACAUGGAGAAGAAAGAGGCAAAGGAGGAAGGAGGCGGCAGCAGAGAAAUUAGGUUUAGGGUUAAUUAUGUUUAGAUUUUUGUUUAGCGUUAAUUAGAUUUUGGUUCAUGUGUUAUGGUUUACUUAAUUUUUUAAUGCUGGUUUAGUUUUGUUAAACUAAUUUUAUUUGUAAAUUAUUUUAAUUAAUAAAUAUAAUUCAACUUCAAUUUUAAA